rnacentral:lncRNA from 1 species
CCCUCUCGAUACUGUCUUUUGAUUGAAAGAAGCUUCCAAGUUUGGUAAAAAAAUCCAGGAUAGUUUAUGAAUCUAAUAAAUGUUUUAUAAACUUUAACUGCAGACUGUAUGUAAUGUUAACUGGAAGACAAGAGUGCACACGCUGAAAUGUCUCGCCUUCUAUACUAAUCAUUGAUAUUAUGUUGAUAGUCCUAAGUAUAAAGCUAAUCUUUAUUACAACUGUCACAUAAACUUAACAUUAACCAAGAUAACUAAACAAAGACCAAUGAACCUUAAAAAAGAGGUCCAGGUCAGAUGAACCAUGCCAGGCAGACAGGUACAGCUAACAAUGCUUCUAUACAACAUAUAUAGUUGACACAUUAC